ACUGUCAAGAAAAGUCUCUAUCGAGGUUAAAGGUACCCGUACCGCAAACCGACACAGGUGGGUGAGGAGAGUAUCCUAAGGCCAGCGAGAGAACUGUUGUUAAGGAACUCGGCAAAAUGACCCCGUAACUUAGGGAUAAGGGGUGCCACCAUCAGGUGGCCGCAGAGAAUAGGCCCAAGCGACUGUUUACCAAAAACAUAGGUUUCUGCUAAGUCGCAAGACGAUGUAUAGGAGCUGACGCCUGCCCGGUGCUGGAAGGUUAAGGGGAUCUGUUAGAGCAAUCGAAGCAGUGAACUUAAGCCCCAGUAAACGGCGGCCGUAACUAUAACGGUCCUAAGGUAGCGAAAUUCCUUGUCGGGUAAGUUCCGACCCGCACGAAAGGCGUAACGAUUUGGGCACUGUCUCAACAACAGACUCGGUGAAAUUGUAAUUCCGGUGAAGAUGCCGGAUACCUGCGACAGGACGGAAAGACCCCAUGGAGCUUUACUGUAGCUUGACAUUGGGUCUUGGUACUACAUGUACAGGAUAGGUGGGAGGCUUUGAAACCAGGACGCCAGUUUUGGCGGAGCCAUCCUUGGGAUACCACCCUUGUAGUACUGGGACUCUAACCAUAGGCCAUGAAUCUGGUCUUGGGACACUGUCAGGUGGGCAGUUUGACUGGGGCGGUCGCCUCCCAAAAGGUAACGGAGGCGCUCA
rnacentral:rRNA from 1 species